rnacentral:rRNA from 1 species
AACACNUCCACUCACACCCUGUGCACCCUCUGUAGUCCUGUGGUUGGGGGGCCUUGUCCUCCUGCUGUGGUUCUGCAUCUUUACACACACACUGUAACAAAGUCUCAUGGAAUGCAUCUGCGUUUAACGCAAUACAAUACAACUUUCAGCAACGGAUCUCUUGGCUCUCGCAUCGAUGAAGAACGCAGCGAAAUGCGAUAAGUAAUGUGAAUUGCAGAAUUCAGUGAAUCAUCGAAUCUUUGAACGCACCUUGCGCCCUUUGGCCAUUCCGAAGGGCAUGCCUGUUUGAGUAUCAUGAACACCUCAACUCUUCAUGGUUUUCUGUGAUGAGCUUGGACUUUGGGGGUUUUGCUGGCCUACGGUCGGCUCCUCUAAAAUGAAUCAGCUUGCCAGUGUUUGGUGGGCAUCACGGGUGUGAUAACUAUCUACGCUUGUGGUUUUCCACCAGGUAACCUUUCAGCAGUGGAGGUUCGCUGGAGCUCACAGAUGUCUCUCCUCAGUGAGGACGGCCCUUUGAAUGUUUGAUCUCAAAUCAGGUAGGACUACCCGCU